rnacentral:rRNA from 1 species
GAAAGUAAAGAAGGGCGCAUGGCGGAUGCCUUGGCUCUCGGAGGCGAUGAAGGACGUGAUAAGCUGCGAUAAGCUUCGGGUAGGUGCAAAUAACCUUUGAUCCGAAGAUUUCCGAAUGGGACAACCCGACAUUCUGAAGGAAUGUCAUCCUGCUUGGCAGGAGGCUAACGCAGGGAACUGAAACAUCUUAGUACCUGCAGGAAAAGAAAAUAAACAAUGAUUCCCCCAGUAGUGGCGAGCGAACGGGGAACAGCCCAAACCAUCCAUGUUACGGCAUGGGUGGGGUUGUAGGACUACGCCGUUGCAUGAAGACAUCAGAGAAGAACUUUCUGGAAAGAAAGACCAUAGAGCAUGACAGUUGCGUAUUCGAAUGUUGUCGAAGCAUAGUAGUAUCCUGAGUAGCGCGGAGCACGAGGAAUUCUGCGUGAAUCUGCCGGGACCAUCCGGUAAGGCUAAAUACUCCCGAGAGACCGAUAGCGAACCAGUACCGUGAGGGAAAGGUGAAAAGCACUUCGAACAGAAGAGUGAAAUAGUUCCUGAAACCGUGCGCCUACAAGCGGUCGGAGCUCGUUAAUGAGUGACGGCGUGCCUUUUGCAUAAUGAACCUACGAGUUGCCUUUGCCGGCAAGGUUAAGUGUGACGACACACGUAUCCGAAGCGAAAGCGAGUCUGAACAGGGCGUAUAGUCGGCAGUGGCAGACGCGAAACCAAGUGAUCUACCCUUGGCCAGGUUGAAGGCUGGGUAACACCAGCUGGAGGACCGCACCAAUAAGCGUUGAAAAGCUUCUGGAUGAGCUGAGGGUAGGGGUGAAAGGCUAAUCAAACUUGGAGAUAGCUCGUACUCCCCGAAAUGCAUUUAGGUGCAGCCUUGCGGGUUACUGAUGUGAGGUAGAGCGACUGAUAAGAUGCGAGGGCUUCACCGCCUAUCAAGUCUUGACAAACUCCGAAUGCGCAUCAGUUCUACCGCAGGAGUGAGGGCAUGGGUGCUAAGGUCCGUGCCCGAGAGGAGAAGAAUCCGGACCACCUGCUAAGGUCCCGAAAUGACAGCUAAGUUAAACUAACGAAGUCUGACUGCUAAGACAGCUAGGAUGUUGGCUUGGAAGCAGCCAUUCAUUUAAAGAGUGCGUAACAGCUCACUAGUCGAGGAGUCGGGCGUGGAUAAUAAUCGGGUAUUAAGUUGUCUACCGAAGCAGUGGGAUCAUUAAUAUGAUCGGUAGGGGAGCAUUCCAGUCAGCGUCGAAGGCGUACCGUGAGGUAUUCUGGAGCGUCUGGAAAAGCAAAUGUAGGUAUAAGUAACGAUAAAGGGGGCGGGAAACCCCCUCGCCGAAAGACUAAGGUUUCCUGAUCAACGCUAAUCGGAUCAGGGUCAGUCGGGUCCUAAGGCUCAGCCGAACGGCGAUGCCGAUGGCAGAAACGGUUAAUAUUCCGUUACUACCUUCAGGAGUGACGUGGAGACGCAGUAGUGACAGUGCCGCCAUCUGACGGAAUAGAUGGUUGAAGGGUGUAGGAGUCGAUCAUGGCAGGCAAAUCCACCAUGAGAUCCGAACCUGAUAGUAUGCCGCGUCCUUCGGGACAAGGCAAUAGUGCGCGUAAGCAUGCUGCCGAGAAAAUCCGCUAAACUUAAUCCUGCAGGUACCCGUACCGCAAACGGACACACGUAGUCGGGUUGAAUAUACUAAGGCGCUUGAGUGAUUCACGGUUAAGGAACUAGGCAAACUGACCCUGUAACUUCGGGAUAAAGGGUCCCUACCCUUUUAUGGGAGGGCGCAGAGAAUCGGUCCAGGCAACUGUUUAACAAAAACACAGGGCUGUGCCAAAUCGAAAGAUCCAGUAUACAGCCUGACACCUGCCCGGUGCUGGAAGGUUAAGAGGAGAUGUCAUCGAUAAGAGAAGCGUUGAAUUGAAGCCCCAGUAAACGGCGGCCGUAACUAUAACGGUCCUAAGGUAGCGAAAUUCCUUGUCGGGUAAGUUCCGACCUGCACGAAUGGUGUAAUGAUCUGGACGCUGUCUCAACCGUGAGCUCAGUGAAAUUGUAGUAUCGGUGAAGAUGCCGAUUACCCGCGAUGGGACGAAAAGACCCCGUGAACCUUUACUAUAGCUUAUCAUUGAAUCUGGGCACGUGAUGUGUAGGAUAGGUCGGAGGCUUUGAAGCAGGUACGCCAGUAUUUGUGGAGCCGCUGUUGAAAUACGACCCUUUAUUUGUUUGGAUUCUAACCCGUGGAUACGGGGACAUUGAUUGGUGGGUAGUUUGACUGGGGUGGUCGCCUCCAAAAGCGUAACGGAGGCUUCUAAAGGUGCCCUCAGACCGAUUGGUAACCGGUCGCAGAGUGUAAUGGCAUAAGGGCGCUUGACUGGGAGACAUACAAGUCGAUCAGGUAGGAAACUAGAGCAUAGUGAUCCGGUGUUUCCGCAUGGAAGGGACAUCGCUCAAAGGAUAAAAGGUACUCCGGGGAUAACAGGCUGAUCCCUCCCAAGAGCUCAUAUCGACGGAGUGGUUUGGCACCUCGAUGUCGGCUCGUCACAUCCUGGGGCUGGAGAAGGUCCCAAGGGUUGGGCUGUUCGCCCAUUAAAGUGGCACGCGAGCUGGGUUCAGAACGUCGUGAGACAGUUCGGUCUCUAUCUGUUGCGGGCGUAGGAAGAUUGAGGGGUCCUGACUUUAGUACGAGAGGACCGAGUUGGACGAACCUCCGGUGUAUCGGUUAUGCUGCCAAGUGUACUGCCGAGUAGCCGCGUUCGGUCUGGAUAAGCGCUGAAAGCAUCUAAGCGCGAAGCCAUCCCCAAGAUAAGUCUUCCCUUGAGGGGCGUAGGAGACGACUACGUUGAUAGGCUGCAGGUGUAAAGACAGUAAUGUCAAAGCCGAGCAGUACUAAUUACCCGA